CGAAAGUGCAGGAAGGCAGGCGCCACAUCACUGUAGUUCGUUUUCAGGGUCAGUCGGUUUGACGUUUGUCGUCCACUGGUGAAAUGGCGAAAUUUGUGAUUUGACUAGCGAAUGAACCGUUAACCGUGUUGUUCCUGCUUGUGAAAAUAUAAUAUUGUGACUUCUCUUAAAUGAAAGAAAGAUUCGUGUCAAAUUGUGUCCGUGUUUAUUGAACAUCUGAAGUGCAACUGUGCUCAAGUGUUGUAAUCUGUGUAAAACCUCAACCCCAAAUAAAGUGUUAUCCAGGCUCAAACAAACCUCGAAUUGAAUAGCAAACGCUUCCACAGCCGUUGAGUGCUACUGUGUACUGAGAAGUGAAUCAAAAUCGAAACAAAAAUAAAGUCCCGCAAGAGCCGCCGCAAGGGCAUCCCAUUGAAAAUCGGGACACCGAAAGCCCUCAACAGCAGCAGCCACUACGAGUCUUCGCCGCCGCAGUCGUCAAUCGCUGACCCAGCCACCGAGCCCAAGAAUACAGUUUCUACUAAUAGUGACAGUUUGAACGGCAAUGGAGACCAUCAACUAGACUCAUCAAGGUCCUUCAAAAUACUUCUGCAAGUACUGGACAGCAUGUCUUCGCCACCUGCCAUACCGCUCUAUACCAGCCGGUAUCCGACACUGAACGGUUACCCCCAGAUCAACGGUGUCGAUCCUGGCGAACCAAUGGAUUGCCGCAAGCUUCAGUCACACCGAAGGUAUGUCCAGCGGGGGUUCCAUAGAAAGAAAAUCAACACGAGGAAACGCAUCCUCUACCAUAUAUGCGGAUUUUAAUCGUUUAACCAACUCUCUAAAAUCUUGUACAUUCAUCAUGCGAGCUUGAAUCAAGGGAAACACACAUAUGUACUAUAAAAUGAAAUUGAAUGCUUAAACUUACCUAACAUUACUCAAACAAUCAAAACAAACAUCAAACGAGAAACCAAAUAUCCUGUAAAAACGAAAAGCAGUACUAAUAGGCAAAUACGAUAAUAACUAAUGAUAAUAAUGUCAAACGUAGCAGCAAUUCAGGUUAACUGUUUUAUCAUAAUAAUAUAUUUAAACCAAUAAAACUGUAGUAAAGUGAGAAAAUAAUGACAUAUCCUUUAUCUGUUUCUCAUGGAGGAAGUAUGUGACUGACAACUGUAAAAAGUCGUAAACAAGCGAGCUGAUAAAUAUUGCUUUUCUACUGGAGAUAUACUUUAUACGGAUUACAUAAGAAAGACUUUUUCGCUUCAGUAGAGUUUCAUCGCAUAUAGAUCCGGUAGACAUGCUUUGCUUCCUGUAGUUAUAUGCAAGUUUAUUAAAAAGUUAUCCCAACUAAAAUCAAAACAUUAUCAAGACAUGUAAAUGAUCCGUAGAGUUUCCGAGUACAAAACGAACUUAGCUAAACAAAAUCAAAUGAAAUGCAAACAAACAGUGAAACAUAGCAUCAUUUAGCCCGAUUAAUUAACAAUAUAACCUACCUAGUUACGUAAUUUGUACACUCAACCAAAAAUAUAAAAUCAAAAUAUUUAAUUCCCUUCCAACCAUUAAACAAACUCCCCGCGUACAAUUCGAUCGAAUCGAGCCAACUAAAAUCCCACCGAGUAAAAAUGUGACGUUUCCCUUGCAACGAAAACCGCUCAACCAAACUGGCAACGCUCCCGUGUGCGUCCACUAUCGUUCCGGUUCAUCG